UACAGAGGGUGCGAGCGUUAAUCGGAAUUACUGGGCGUAAAGCGCACGUAGUCGGCUUUGCAAGUCGGUUGUGAAAUCCCCGGGCUCAACCCGGGAACUGCGUCCGAUACUGGCAGGCUUGAAUCCGGGAGAGGGAUGCGGAAUUCCAGGUGUAGCGGUGAAAUGCGUAGAUAUCUGGAGGAACACCGGUGGCGAAGGCGGCAUCCUGGACCGGCAUUGACGCUGAGGCGCGAAAGCGUGGGGAGCAAACAGG
rnacentral:rRNA from 1 species